rnacentral:snRNA from 1 species
CUACAUGUUCCUAUCUUUCUUUU